GGCAAGAUGGCCGAGUGGUCUAAGGCGCUGCGUUUAGGCCGCAGUCUUCACGGGCGUGGGUGUAAGUUAUAUGUUCAAUUAGCUCCAAUAGCAACCCGCUAAUCCACAACAGUCGAAUCCCACUCUUGUCA
rnacentral:tRNA from 1 species